GGAUCUUCGGACCUUGCGCUAAUAGAUGAGCCUAAGUCGGAUUAGCUAGUUGGUGGGGUAAAGGCCUACCAAGGCGACGAUCUGUAGCGGGUCUGAGAGGAUGAUCCGCCACACUGGGACUGAGACACGGCCCAGACUCCUACGGGAGGCAGCAGUGGGGAAUAUUGGACAAUGGGGGGAACCCUGAUCCAGCCAUGCCGCGUGUGUGAAGAAGGCCUUAUGGUUGUAAAGCACUUUAAGCGAGGAGGAGGCUACUGAGACUAAUACUCUUGGAUAGUGGACGUUACUCGCAGAAUAAGCACCGGCUAACUCUGUGCCAGCAGCCGCGGUAAUACAGAGGGUGCGAGCGUUAAUCGGAUUUACUGGGCGUAAAGCGUGCGUAGGCGGCUUUUUAAGUCGGAUGUGAAAUCCCCGAGCUUAACUUGGGAAUUGCAUUCGAUACUGGGAAGCUAGAGUAUGGGAGAGGAUGGUAGAAUUCCAGGUGUAGCGGUGAAAUGCGUAGAGAUCUGGAGGAAUACCGAUGGCGAAGGCAGCCAUCUGGCCUAAUACUGACGCUGAGG
rnacentral:rRNA from 1 species